rnacentral:rRNA from 1 species
CUUUAAUCCUACAAUUUUGAGCAUACCUGAUCUCAUCAGAUUUUUGAAACUAAGAAGGAUUGGGCCUUGAUAGUACUUGAAUGGAUGACUCCAAAGAAUACCAGGAAACUCCAAGA